UAAUCUCUCCAGUCUUUAAUCAGAACGACAGUAUCAGUAUGGGACGCCAGCCUCUUAAUCGCAUGAUUUUCAUUUUAAUUGCCGUUGUUUUAACAAUGAUUCUUGAAGAUCGCGUAAUUAAUUGUAUUCCAACAUCCAAUGUCGAGGAAUAUGCAAAGAAUAUUUUCUGUCAACUGAAGAAAUCGGCAAAUAAAUCUUUAAAUAAACCAACACCUAUUUUUGCAUAUCCUGUUUAUUAUCCUUUAUAUUUUCAUGUACCGAUUUAUAUGCCAUCUGUGUAUUUUUUAGGAUAACUAAUUAAAUCAAUUUUCGCUUA